UACAGAGGUGGCAAGCGUUGUUCGGAAUUACUGGGCGUAAAGGGCGCGUAGGCGGUUCGUUAAGUCCUGUGUGAAAUCCCUCGGCUCAACUGGGGAACUGCACAGGAAACUAGCGGGCUUGAGUUCGGGAGAGGGAAGCGGAAUUCCGGGUGUAGCGGUGAAAUGCGUAGAUAUCCGGAGGAACACCGGUGGCGAAGGCGGCUUCCUGGACCGACACUGACGCUGAGGCGCGAAAGCUAGGGGAGCAAACGGG
rnacentral:rRNA from 1 species